ACAUCCAGAGAAUUUAGCAGAGAUGCUUUAGUGCCUUCGGGAACUCUGAGACAGGUGCUGCAUGGCUGUCGUCAGCUCGUGUUGUGAAAUGUUGGGUUAAGUCCCGCAACGAGCGCAACCCUUAUCCUUUGUUGCCAGCACGUAAUGGUGGGAACUCAAAGGAGACUGCCGGUGAUAAACCGGAGGAAGGUGGGGAUGACGUCAAGUCAUCAUGGCCCUUACGAGUAGGGCUACACACGUGCUAUAAUGGCGCAUACAAAGAGAAGCGACCUCGCGAGAGCAAGCGGACCUCAUAAAGUGCGUCGUAGUCCGGAUUGGAGUCUGCAACUCGACUCCAUGAAGUCGGAAUCGCUAGUAAUCGUAAAUCAGAAUGUUACGGUGAAUACGUUCCCGGGCCUUGUACACACCGCCCGUCACACCAUGGGAGUGGGUUGCAAAAGAAGUAGAUAGCUUAACCUUCGGGAGGGCGUUUACCACUUUGUGAUUCAUGACUGGGGUGAAGUCGUAACAAGGUAGGCGUAGUGCU
rnacentral:rRNA from 1 species